UGCCCCGUUUACACACACUCCUCAACAUGGCAUCAUGACUUUGCGUAAACUUAUACGCCACUUUCGUGUAAGCCAAGUGGCGUCUUAUCUGUAGGUAUUUUGAGCUAUCCACGUGUUUGUCUACGCUG